CCCCAGGGCCAGCCCCUUGCUUCCGGCACGGGAGGCGCCACCGCAAGCCAUGGAUGACAAGGAGCGGACUCCGGCGAGUCAUGAAUCAAGGAGCAGGCGCAAGGUGGUGGCAAAGAGGAUCCUGCUGUCCUCAUCAAAGGAGCGGGGCAGCGGCCAUUCCGGCCAAGCAUCGCGAGAUUCAAGCCCUUGCGUGGCAUCCAUGUCUGUGCAUAAGGAAUUGGAGGGUGUGGAGGAAGAGGGGGAUGAACUAGACAACAGCUUUGACCAUAAUGAUGAUUUAUCAGUAAGCCUACCAUCAGCAAGUGAGGGGGAGGACGUAGUUGAGGUGUCAUCAGAUGGGGUUUCUAUGCCUUAUAAAGAAAAGAGAGGACGCAAAAGGCUACUAAAAUUGAGGUACACUGAACCUUGAUCCAGAUCAGAGUGGGUCUCUUGUUGUUAAUCCUACUGAAUAUGAUCAUGAUCACACUCGUCGUUUAAUUGCUAAGACGAUAAUUGUCCACGAGUACUCAUUUAGGAUGUAGAGCAUAAAUGGUUUAAUGUGUUGACGAAGUGGCCGAAUAGCAACUAUGAUUGGAUUGAUAGGAAGACAAUAAAAAACUGAGUGCAUGAAAGUUUAUGAAUCUGAAAAAGACAAUCUCAAGAAGAGUCUCAGAGAGGCUGAAUCGAUAAGUCUAACUACUGAUUUAUGGACAUCAAAUCAAAACAUUCAGUAUAUGUAUUCAGUAUAUGUGUAGACCAGGGUAGGCACGGUUGAGAUAGGAGUGGAUCGGGAGAACUUGGGUCCGUUUGGCAGCGCUGCCGCCGCUCCGCUCCGUGCAAGAUUCCGCGGAGCGCUGCCAAACGGGAAAAACAGCACCGGCUCCUCCCUCGAAUCACCGUCAAUUGAUUCGCCCGGUGACCCAUCGAGCGGGGAGCGAAAAAAAUCUGCUCCCCGCCGAUUCCCUUCACUUCCGCCCCCCGGCCUGCAGUACCGCCGCUCGUUCCUCACCAGCCCGCCCGGCGGCCGCUCGUCCCAGCCGACCCCGCGCGCGCAGGCCUGUCGCACCGGCGGCCGCUCGUCCCAGUAUACCCCGCUCGCGCAGGCCCGCAGCACCGGCGGCCGCUCGUCCCCGACCAGCACGCCCGGCGGGUGGACGAGCAGCGCCCGGUGGAUCUCGAUUCGCGAUGCUGAAGUUUGAUUCGCGGUCGGACGGCGUAUGGAGCUCGAUUCAUGGUGCUGGUGGAUCUUGAUUUGCGGCGCUAGGUGUCGAUUCGCGGCGCGGAGCUCGAUCGCAACGCUGCACGGACGCUGGCGCUUGCCACCAUCGUCGCCCGAAGCGGGAGCGUGUGUGGAGCGCCACCAAACGAGUUUUUUUCAGAACUGGAGCAGCCGCGAGCGGGAGCGCGUGGAAGCGAGGAGCAGAGCAGAGUGAAUCGAGUUUGGAGUGCUGCUAAACGGGCCCUUAUUGUAGCGACUAUGUUGAAGUCUAGUUAUUUGUGUGUCUUGACUUUUUAGACAUUUUGCCAUA